rnacentral:lncRNA from 1 species
GUGAGGACGCUUACUUCUUAGUGAGCACUUUGUAAUAAUUAAGUGAAGAAUAAGACAAGUAAGCCUGAAGGAGAGAGAGAGAGAGAGCGAGAGAGAGAGAGAGAGAGAGAGAGAGAGAGAGAGAGAGAGAGAGAGAGAGAGAGAGAGAGCUUCUUUAACUGAACCUGGACCAGUGUCACUUCUACUUGAGAGAAACAGGGGCAGCAGUGAAGCUACCUACGCAUAGCUAAGUAUGUGUAAUAUAUUGCAAAUACUUGUUAACUGCCUUCCUUUCUCCUGCUGCUGGGUAAUUGAACAUUCACUGAGAUUGACAUACAGUGCUCUGACUCAUUGUUGUCUACAUGUCUAUGAUCAUUUUUUACAUUUCUAACAAUUAGAAGCAUCAUUUGAAACUAGCUAAGGAUAGUAUUGUUUUUUCUUUGUAGACUCUUCAUUGCAGUAUGGAAUUUGAAACUGUAGCUAGGUUAUUUUUGACAAAAAGUUAAAUUAUAUUUCAUUUAUUUUAUGUGUAGUGUUUUAGGCUAAUGAUAACAGAAAUGGAGUAUAGCAUAAGGACAUGUUUUACAACUAUUGCAAUGGCUUCCUGUCUUAAUUUUUAUACCAUUGGACUUAGUUAAUGAAUCCAUCUUCGAGUUUUACUUUUGGCCUGCAAGCGAACUUGACACAGUUCCUACCAUGUUUUGCCAACACUUGAAUCAUUUAAAAGAAUCCCAAAGAGAGCAUACCAAUUUUCACAUGCAAUGUGACACAGAGAUAUCCGCUUUGUCUGUAGCCAAGAAUUUGCUUAAAAGUGGAAAAGUCAAAUACAGUUAGUUAAUUUUUGUUUGCCGGUGUGACAGAUGCAGUCCACACAGUGUGAGACACCAAUAUUGGAAAGCAUGACAAGGGAAAAUCACAUAGGUGACAGUAAUCGGAGGAAUUCAUGUAUGCAAAUGAGGUGCUUGGCAUGCAUGGCUGGCGAUGCCACUAAUUGAAUAAUUGGCCUCAGAGCACCAGGUGCACCGACCACGCUUCUAGUGCGUGUACGCCUACGCCUGUGUGUGUGUAUGUGCCAGCGGACAUUUUAGGUCUACCCUCCUCACACGCUCACCACUGCCAAACGCCUUAAGAUGGUGGCACCUUGAGGGAGAGACACUCCUUCAGUGAGCCAACCAGGUCCCUCCUCACUCUCCUCCUCCUCCUCUAUCAUGGCUCUUCACGACAACACUGGGCAAGCACCCCUCCCCCUAACCACUGUCCCCCUUAUAAAUAUGUAAUUUCCCCCUCUCUAAUAACGAUAUUAGGGGCUGGCUCUGGUGCCUUGGUGUAUAUGCAUGAGUCCUCUCUCAUCAAAUUUGCAUAAAAGGUCCAGAUGCUAAUGUUACCGUGGCGACUACUUGCAGUGCUUACUAUUCUAUAUUCAGCGUAGCCAUAUCCCUAGACAAGCCAAGAUUCCACAUCGCCUGAACAGUCAGCUCUUUAAUUGUAGCAGUGCUGCCUCUAUUGAUGUGUAUUUCAAGUCACCUACAUCCCCUCCGUAAUAACGGAAGGUAAAGUAGUCGGCAUCAUUCAUUAGGUUAAAGAUGGAUUCUAUAGUUAUUUGAGCCAUACGAAUUGGUUGGUGGGUUCUAAAACCAUAGGCCUUGCUCAAAUUAUUUCUAAACAUUUUCACAUGAAAGAGCCCUUUAACUACUAAAUUAGAUACUGUAAAAUGACUGCAUGUGUAGAGUAUGUGUGAGCAAUUAUAUACCGCUGCCUUAAUAGACCAGAGCAAAAUGACAUAUAUGGCAACAUUGAAGGAAAAGUACAGUGUCCACACACACACACACACACACACACACACACACACACACACACACACACACACACACACACACACACACACACACACGGUACGUCAGAACAGUAAAGCCACAAGGCGUCUCUGUUGGUUAUUUGUAAUUAAUUGAGAAUGAAUAAUGCAGUAACAUGAAAUACAUUAUUAACACACAUUCAUCUUACGAGAGGAUUCAAAGCAUAUUUCAAAUGCAAUUAUACUAAUUUAUUUAUAGCAGGGGUAUUUGCAUAAUAAAAAGCCAUCGGAGCACAGACAUAUUGAAAAGGACAGACAGGCAGGCAGAUGGGUUUAGGCGUAUACUGUAAAGCCGCCAUUCAUACGUAUGCAGCCAGAGUAGCUAUUGUACACGCCAAUGCUCACAACAUCAGUCAUAUUAAUCUUGUUGCCGCAAUAAUUUCUGCUGUGUGUUGUUAGCAUCAUUACCAUUAGCAAUUAUGAUGAAGUAAGUCUAAUGUAGCUAGCUAGCAUAAGCAUAUUUGUUGAAUUCUGUUGAUCACUAUAUGGAAUGGGCAGGGAGGUAUGUUUGAAAAAUAAAUGUUUAUGAAUAUAAAUUAUUAAAACGCAAGUUAACAAUUGUUUACUAUUUUGGCCUUUAAUGGAUUUUUUUAUGUUUUAUUAUUAUGUAUUUUAUACAUUUACAUAUUAUCUAAGUCCAUUAUCUGAGUGUAAGUAACACUGUGUGCUUAUGAGACAAACUAAAAUGUCUUCUGCAUCCAUUUUUGUAUGUUUGAUUUAUGAUGUUUUAAAGACUGUACAUGUUGCUUUGUUCCUCAUCUAUUUUAGCGUCCUUUAAUUCAGAGUUAAACAUUUUGCUCAAACAAUAAUAUCAUUAUCAGAUGUUCCAUUUACGCUUCCCGUUAACAAACAAACCCAUAUCAUAAAAAUACGUGUGUCCAUUCUUAGAUAAAAAGGUGCUAUCUAGAACGUAAACGUGUAUUUGGCUGUCCCCAUAGGAGAACACUUUAAAAAAAAACUUUUUGGUUCCAGGUAGAACCCGUUUUGUGUUCCACAUAAAACCCUUUCCACAGAGGGUUCUACAUGGAACUCAAAAGAGUUCUACCUGGAACCAAAACGGUUCUACCUUUUUUUUAAAGGGUUAUCCUAUAGGAACAGCCAAAGGAACCUUUAAGAACCCUUUUUUCUAAAAAUGUUAGUCGUGUGGGGUAGGACUAACUGUCAUUAAUGUCCUAAUAAGCUGACUGUUAUCCAGUCAUGUUUUGAAGGUAAUUGCAUGGACAGUGACACAUGGAGGUAGGUAGCUCUAAUGUAGUGGUAUGACUAACACCAUGUCCAUAACCACCUCUAUGCAGGCUGCUGGAGGGAGGGACACCGUGGCAGAGCACAGCAUGCCUGCUGCUCCUCACAACCACGCUCAAGUGACCAUGCGUGAUGUCAUUAAAAAGGGCCCAACCAUGACAUUCCACAAUGGAUUAUUGGCCCAUGUUAUGGCUGGUUGAUCGUUUAGGAGGAGGCAGGAGGCAGGAGGCAGGAGGCGGACCACAGUGGAACCAGUGGUAAGAAGAGACAAUGGUACUGUGUGUGUGGCUUACUGCGUGCGUGUGUGUGCACUGAAAUGCACUGCAUUGCCACAUGUUUGAUGCCGAUUGAAACAGCAUCUACAGCGGUAGGCUGUCGUCACUGUGUGAGAGCAGCAGCCAUAUCUACUGUGUGUGGUCACCCUGUGCAUUGCUAAGAAUAUCCAUCACACCACUGUUAAUGGAGGAAAAAGUCACCUGACAGGAAAAACAUUGCAACACUUCAAUGUGUGUGAUGAAUCUAAAUUGAGCCCAGGAGACAAGGAGGGUGUCAUUCUAGUCAGUUACACACAAACACACACACACACUCUCUGAAACCAGGAACCUGUCCUGCUCCAGCGGCGCUGAUGCCGGCGUGCGCACCGUGAGCUCACCUCCCGUUGCCACGGCGACACCAACCAGAGGGAAAAGCCUGGUGUGUGUGACAGAGGCCUGAGAGGGAGGAAGGAGGAGGGACUGAGGAAUUCACAUAGCGCUUGGCUUGUUUCAGCACUAGUACCUUAUUCGGUUACCAGGCCUUAUCACGGAAAUGCUAAACCGACCCUUUCAAUUAUCAAGGCAAUGUCUUUAGCCCGGCCACCUAUUUGUAAUGGCUGGCCUGGGAUUUCAAAUGAGAUGUGUCAGAAAUAGUUGGCCGACAAGGUGGACAGUAGACAUUUAUACACACAAUUGGGUAUUAUCAUGCAUUAUGUACAAUUAACAUGUGUAUACACAAACAUAUAGGGAAUCAUGCAGUCAUGCACACACUCACAAAUAUGACCACUAAAUGAAACACACGCUCAUUUUUUUUCCAUAAACAAAAAAAUGCGACUAACAGCUGCUUUGGUGCCUGCAUUCUAUUAGUGAUGAAGAGCUAACCCAGUCUGGGGGUCGUCUGCUCAUCAAUGGUGGUGCCCCACAGCCGUGAAUGCACUGAAUUCAUUAGUCAUCGCGCACAGAUGGUGUCUGGCUGCCUGUCUCAAGUUCAAGUUCAUGUCCAGGAGACCCAGAGAGAGAGACAUGCUGAAGCCAGACAGACCAGAUGCUACUGAGACACAGAGAGAGA